rnacentral:rRNA from 1 species
UCAGCUCGUGUCGUGAGAUGUGGUUAAGUCCCGCAACGAGCGCAACCCUACGUUUAGUUGCUAACGUGUAACGAUGAGCACUCUAGGCGGACUGCCGUUGACAAAACGGAGGAAGGUGGGGAUGACGUCAAAUCAUCAUGCCCCUUAUGUUCUGGGCUACACACGUGCUACAAUGGCCGGUACAAAGGGACGCAAAGCCGCGAGGUGGAGCAAAUCCGAUAAAAGCCGGUCUCAGUUCGGAUUGCAGGCUGAAAUUCGCCUGCAUGAAGUCGGAAUCGCUAGUAAUCGCAGGUCAGCAUACUGCGGUGAAUACGUUCCCGGGCCUU